UACAUGGAUCCCGAAAAACCAAACUAAAAUCAACUCGAAAAUUCUUGUUCGGUUCGCGUCGGGUCCAGAGAAAAAUACGUAUUUUUUUUUUUGGAAAUGUGGGUCUCUGUUCGCGUCAGAGACCUACCCGAAACCCGUUUGGGAUCCAAAGUACCCAAAAUGUUUGUGUAAAUUAUAUAUAUUUGUGUAUUUUGGAUUUUUUUGGUAUACAUAUAUUUUUGAGUUUUGUUUGAAUUUCCGGUUAUAGUUUUGGAUUUCGAGUAAAAAAUCAAAUUUUAAAAAUAUAUUUGGGUAUUCAGAUAAAAUUUUGGGUAUUUUUUGGUUCCUCGGGUCAGAUUUCAAGUAUAAUUUUAGGUCUUUUGAGUAUUUUCUGAUUUUUAGGUAUUUGUUUAGAUUUUGGAUAUUUUUUUGUGUUUCGAGUAUAUUUAUGUUUAUCGAGUUUUAUUUGAGUCCUAAAUAUCUGAACGGAUCCAUACCCGUUACAUACAAAAAAUAACAUAUAUUUAAUAGGUAUUUGAAUUACGGAGUCGAAACCAUCUAGAUCCGAAAGAAACCGAACCGAACUCAAAUAAUUUUUUUCUAAAUGUCUAAUUAGGUCCAAAAACCCAAGACCUAGCAAAAUUCAUUGGUUCGUUUUAUAAAAUUUUGGGUGAAAAAUACUCUUCAGGUUUGAUCAAUAAUGUUUAAUAGGACAUGGCUCAUUUAUAUUUCAAAAGUUGAUCUCGUAAGAAAAUUUUGAUCUAAUGGAGGAGGAUGGUAUAUAUGACAAUGACCCCUACGUAUUGAAAUUUUGGUGCCGUUUAUAUCAAAUAUAUAUACGUUAAAUUGAUAGUCAUUACUUAUUAAAGUGGGUGAGAUUUAUUUGAAUGUUAGAAGAUAUUAUUUGGUUGAUAUAUAAUAGGAGAUAGUUAAUAAUAUUUAGUUGUAUAAAAUAGGUUGGACUAAAAAAUAAAUAGGUGCAACAACUUUGUAUAAGUAGAUUUUUGAGGACUCCUUCCCUUUUAAUAGUAUUGAUAGUAUGGUAUAAAAACAAUAUCUUCUUAUUAUUUGAACAAAAAAAAAAAAACAAUAUCUUCUUAUUAAAUUGUUUAAUAGAAUGAUUAGUUGAACAUGAUGAAUAUAUAGUUUAAAAUUAUUAUAAAAUUUAAUAUGCAAUA